rnacentral:rRNA from 1 species
GAUGAACGCUGGCGGCGUGCCUAAUACAUGCAAGUCGAGCGAACAGACGAGGAGCUUGCUCCUCUGACGUUAGCGGCGGACGGGUGAGUAACACGUGGAUAACCUACCUAUAAGACUGGGAUAACUUCGGGAAACCGGAGCUAAUACCGGAUAAUAUAUUGCACCGCAUGGUUCAAUAGUGAAAGACGGUUUUGCUGUCACUUAUAGAUGGAUCCGCGCCGCAUUAGCUAGUUGGUAAGGUAACGGCCUACCAAGGCAACGAUGCGUAACCGACCUGGGAGGGUGAUCGGCCACACUGGAACUGGGACAGGGUCCAGACGCCUACGGGAGGCAGCAGUAGGGAAUCUUCCGCAAUGGGCGAAAGCCUGACGGAGCAACGGCGCGUGAGUGAUGAAGGUCUUCGGAUCGUGAAACUCUGUUAUUAGGGAAGAACAAAUGUGUAAGUAACUAUGCACGUCUUGACGGUACCUAAUCAGAAAGCCACGGCUAACUACGUG